UAGUUUGAUCCUGGCUCAGGAUGAACGCUGGCUGUGUGCCUAAUACAUGCAUGUCGAGCGAGGUUCUUUUGAACCUAGCGGCGAAUGGGUGAGUAACACGUGCUUAAUCUACCCUUUAGAUUGGAAUACCCAAUGGAAACAUUGGCUAAUGCCGGAUACGCAUGGAAUCGCAUGAUUCCGUUGUGAAAGGAGCCUUUAAAGCUCCGCUAGAGGAUGAGGGUGCGGAACAUUAGUUAGUUGGUAGGGUAAUGGCCUACCAAGACUAUGAUGUUUAGCCGGGUCGAGAGACUGAACGGCCACAUUGGGACUGAGAUACGGCCCAAACUCCUACGGGAGGCAGCAGUAGGGAAUAUUCCACAAUGAGCGAAAGCUUGAUGGAGCGACACAGCGUGCACGAUGAAGGUCUUCGGAUUGUAAAGUGCUGUUAUAGGGAAAGAACACCUGGUUGAGGAAAUGCUUCCAGGCUGACGGUACCCUGUCAGAAAGCGAUGGCUAACUAUGUGCCAGCAGCCGCGGUAAUACAUAGGUCGCAAGCGUUAUCCGGAAUUAUUGGGCGUAAAGCGUUCGUAGGCUGUUUAUUAAGUCUGGAGUCAAAUCCCAGGGCUCAACCCUGGCUCGCUUUGGAUACUGGUAAACUAGAGUUAGAUAGAGGUAAGCGGAAUUCCAUGUGAAGCGGUGAAAUGCGUAGAUAUAUGGAAGAACACCAAAGGCGAAGGCAGCUUACUGGGUCUAUACUGACGCUGAGGGACGAAAGCGUGGGGAGCAAACAGGAUUAGAUACCCUGGUAGUCCACGCCGUAAACGAUGAUCAUUAGUCGGUGGAGAGUUCACUGACGCAGCUAACGCAUUAAAUGAUCCGCCUGAGUAGUAUGCUCGCAAGAGUGAAACUUAAAGGAAUUGACGGGGACCCGCACAAGCGGUGGAGCAUGUGGUUUAAUUUGAAGAUACGCGGAGAACCUUACCCACUCUUGACAUCCUUCGCAAUGCUAUAGAGAUAUAGCGGAGGUUAACGGAGUGACAGAUGGUGCAUGGUUGUCGUCAGCUCGUGUCGUGAGAUGUUUGGUCAAGUCCUGCAACGAGCGCAACCCCUAUCUUUAGUUACUAACGAGUCAUGUCGAGGACUCUAGAGAUACUGCCUGGGUAACUGGGAGGAAGGUGGGGAUGACGUCAAAUCAUCAUGCCUCUUACGAGUGGGGCAACACACGUGCUACAAUGGUCGGUACAAAGAGAAGCAAUAUGGCGACAUGGAGCAAAUCUCAAAAAGCCGAUCUCAGUUCGGAUUGGAGUCUGCAAUUCGACUCCAUGAAGUCGGAAUCGCUAGUAAUCGCAGAUCAGCUACGCUGCGGUGAAUACGUUCUCGGGUCUUGUACACACCGCCCGUCACACCAUGGGAGCUGGUAAUACCCAAAGUCGGUUAGCUAACCUCGGAGGCGACCGCCUAAGGUAGGACUGGUGACUGGGGUGAAGUCGUAACAAGGUA
rnacentral:rRNA from 2 species